CCUACGGGAGGCAGCAGUGAGGAAUAUUGGUCAAUGGCCGGAAGGCUGAACCAGCCAAGCCGCGUGAGGGAGGAAGGCACAGAGCGUCGCAGACCUCUUUUGCCGGGGAACAAAAGGCCGGACGGGUCCGGUGCUGAGGGUACCCGGAGAAAAAGCAGCGGCUAACUCCGUGCCAGCAGCCGCGGUAAUACGGAGGAUGCGAGCGUGAUCCGGUUGCAUUGGGUUUAACGGGUGCGCAGGCGGGCCGUUAAGCCGGCGGUCAAAGCCCGGGGCUCAACCCCGCCGCGCCGUCGGAACUGGGGGCAGUGAGUGCGGCGGAGGCAUGCGGAAUGCGCGGGGUAGCGGUGAAAUGCAUAGAUAUCGCGCAGAACCCCGAUUGCGAAGGCAGCGUGCCGUGCCGCCACUGACGCUGAGGCACGAAAGCGCGGGGAUCGAACAGGAUUAGAUACCCCGGUAGUC
rnacentral:rRNA from 1 species